CUACUGGAAGGUCAGUUGAGGGUACUCUGCAAGAAGUGUGUACAGUUAAUUAAAAGAAAAUCCUCUAGAGAGACUUUUCAUAAGCUCAAGGUUUCUAUGUUCAUCUCUUUCUGAAAGCUUUACUCAUUCAUGAUUCAGUAUUAUAGAUAUGUCCUGUGGACUUCUUUUUUAAAAGUUUUGCCUAACAAAACACCUGGAGGAGGGAACCUGUUUCAGAAUCACAUAACCUCAGCUUGAUAAGAAUCUCAAGAGAUCACACUGAGUGGCUUCCACUUAGAGAAGGUAACAAGACCACUUUACAGAGAAGACAACAAAGGUCCAAGAUAUUAUACAACUCGCUCAAGGCCACUACAUCAAGAUUAAGUUGGAUUUGCAAAGUGAGUUAGAUUUUGGAAAAAGCUAACCUUCAAUUGUUCUCCAGGGGAAUGAGUAAUUACUAUGAGGAGCUAGUAAUUUUUAGCUUGUCCUCAGGCCUACUGAAAUAUCUUUGCUCUUUCCCUGCAUCUGUAAGAGCAACUGUUGUUUUCAGUCAUUCAAGUAGAAAGUGUGCGUGUUCCAUGGAAAGCCCAAGGCUCUCAGGAACUGAAGCCCAAAGUGCUUAGUCAUCCAAGAUAUAUAUUACCUUACAGAGGAAGAAACUGGAACAUUUGUUCACACUGCAGAAGAGCCCCUUUCUCUGCUGCCUUUGCUGCCAUCAACAGUAAACACUAGAAGUUUAGGAGCUGAAACCCCAUUGAUUGGCAGACUGCUCUGUCAAGACUAUGGAAUCAAUGGUAGUUUCUCAACAUGAGCUUUGGAGAAGAAGGGAAGACAACUUAUCUGAGGUUCUCUAUAUUCCAGGAAGCCUGAACCUCUGGGAUUGGAUCCCCAGGUGAGCAGCUGACUCAGUUCUCACACCUGCUGCCCUGCCCUCGUUCUGGAGUGACUGUCAGAAGGGGAUUGAGCCUCAGCCACCUGGCCUAGGGCCAGUCCUCCUCUCCAACAACCCAGAUCCUGGAGUUGUGUGCCUAGUUUUGGACUCUCCUUUCCAUCAAAUGACUUUCCCUCUAGAAAGUCCUUUCGUCUCUCCUGCAGGCAGCAUCUGUUGGAUUCACCCUAGUCCAGGAUUAAUCUAUGGCCAGAGGGCCACAUCCAGACCACUACCUGUUUUGGUAAAUAAAGUUUUAUCAGAACAUA